GAGCAGGAGGAAUCAGGAGGAGACCAGACAUGUGGAGAAAAGAGCAAACUUCGUUGGAAUCCUGCUGUGUGAUUGUCCUAAACGGAUGCUUCAAGCUUUGCUGAGCCAUAACGACAUCUUGGAGAAGGUACUGCAUCCAGAGACCUCACCUGAAGGCUACCACUCAUUCAGAGAUGACACUUGUUUCAAAGGUUGUCUCAGAGUUCAACAGAGUGGCAACUUAAAGACUUUUUUGACGUCCUGGAUCGUCACACUGCCCGUUUUGUCGAACUCUUCAAA